rnacentral:rRNA from 1 species
UACGUAGGGUGCGAGCGUUGUCCGGAAUUAUUGGGCGUAAAGGGCUCGUAGGCGGUCUGUUGCGUCAGGAGUGAAAACUCGGGGCUUAACCCCGAGCCUGCUUCUGAUACGGGCAGACUAGAGGUAUGCAGGGGAGAACGGAAUUCCUGGUGUAGCGGUGAAAUGCGCAGAUAUCAGGAGGAACGCCGGUGGCGAAGGCGGGUCUCUGGGCCGAUACUGACGCUGAGGAGCGAAAGCGUGGGGAGCGAACAGG